GCAGCAGCCGCGGGAAUACGGAGGAUCCAAGCGUUAUCCGGAAUCAUUGGGUUUAAAGGGUCCGUAGGCGGUCUUGUAAGUCAGUGGUGAAAGCCCAUCGCUCAACGGUGGAACGGCCAUUGAUACUGCAGGACUUGAAUUAUUGGGAAGUAACUAGAAUAUGUAGUGUAGCGGUGAAAUGCUUAGAGAUUACAUGGAAUACCAAUUGCGAAGGCAGGUUACUACCAAUUGAUUGACGCUGAUGGACGAAAGCGUGGGUAGCGAACAGGAUUAGAUACCCCAGUAGUCCCUGUCUCUUAUAC
rnacentral:rRNA from 1 species